rnacentral:rRNA from 1 species
CCGUCGUGGGCGUAGGAAAUUUGAGAGGAGCUGUCCUUAGUACGAGAGGACCGGGAUGGACAUACCUCUGGUGUACCAGUUGUCGUGCCAACGGCAUAGCUGGGUAGCUAUGUGUGGACGGGAUAAGUGCUGAAAGCAUCUAAGCAUGAAGCCCCCCUCAAGAUGAGAUUUCCCAACUUCGGUUAUAAGAUCCCUCAAAGAUGAUGAGGUUAAUAGGUUCGAUGUGGAAGCAUGGUGACAUGUGGAGCUGACGAAUACUAAUCGAUCGAAGACUUAAUCAAAA